UGAUGGAGCAGUCUGGUAGCUCGUCGGGCUCAUAACCCGAAGGUCGUAGGUUCAAAUCCUGCUCCCGCAA
rnacentral:tRNA from 1 species